UACAUGGGACAGUUUUAUAUAACAACAUAACGGUGCUCCACAUCAGGUCUGGAGAAGUAGUUACAUGGGACAGUUUUAUAUAACAACAUACAGGUGCUCCACAUCAGGUCUGGAGAAGUAGUUACAUGGGACAGUUUUAUAUAACAACAUACAGGUGCUCCACAUCAGGUCUGGAGAAGUAGUUACAUGGGACAGUUUUAUAUAACAACAUAACGGUGCUCCACAUCAGGUCUGGAGAAGUAGUUACAUGGGACAGUUUUAUAUAACAACAUAACGGUGCUCCACAUCAGGUCUGGAGAAGUAGUUACAUGGGACAGUUUUAUAUAACAACAUACAGGUGCUCCACAUCAGGUCUGGAGAAGUAGUUACAUGGGACAGUUUUAUAUAACAACAUAACGGUGCUCCACAUCAGGUCUGGAGAAGUAGUUACAUGGGACAGUUUUAUAUAACAACAUAACGGUGCUCCACAUCAGGUCUGGAGAAGUAGUUACAAGGGACAGUUUUAUAUAACAACAUAACGGUGCUCCACAUCAGGUCUGGAGAAGU